UCUGAUCAUUCGGCUUGGAACCCGGUUGUCUGGUCCUAAAUCAACUACAAAAUUUUGAAUUUUUUCAUUAAAAAACUUAGCGAACUUUAAAGGUUUUAAGGCUCUGGCAGUUUCUACUAUAGUUCAAAAAAACGGGCUCUUGGCUGGUGUACUUCUGGACCAGGAACAAAUGGAUCUGGAUCGCUAGUUUCCCCGCUGUGUGAUACGAACAAUCUUGCCAAAUAGGUGAUUCAAAUCUGGAAGAUCUGUAAACCAUUCUAGAAUGUCGUCAAUAUAA